rnacentral:rRNA from 1 species
AACGAACGUUGGCGGCGUGGAUUAGGCAUGCAAGUCGAGGGAAUCUCCCGCAAGGGAGGGAACCGGCGUAAGGGGCAGUAAGGCGUGGGUACCUACCCUGGGGUUCGGGAUAGCUGUCCGAGAGGGCAGGUAAUACCGGAUGACCUGGUGACAGCAAAGAUUUAUCGCCCUGGGAGGGGCCCACGUGAUAUUAGGUAGUUGGCGGGGUAACGGCCCACCAAGCCUGGGAUGUCUAGCGGGUGUGAGAGCACGACCCGCGCCACUGGCACUGAGACACUGGCCAGACACCUACGGGUGGCUGCAGUCGAGGAUCUUCGGCAAUGAGCGCAAGCUUGACCGAGCGACGCCGCGUGUGCGAUGAAGGCCUUCGGGUUGUAAAGCACUGUCGGGGGGGAGAAAAGCCGAAAGGUUUGAUCUAUCCCCGGAGGAAGCACGGGCUAAGUUCGUGCCAGCAGCCGCGGUAAAAC